GGGGAUGAUCGGCCUAGACAAUAAGCCGCUCUCUCGUUUACUCAAACCGGCUACUCCUGCUCGCCCGUUAUCGUGUGCAGGAAAAAAGAAUAAGUGCAAACUUAUCUUCUAAAGUAAAGGGUAUGGUUUCACCAUAUUUCUCCUUUGCUCCGGAAUUCGCUUUAGCGUAAAUUCGGCAUUGAUAUAUUCUGAAUCCUGUUAGGAAAAUAUCAGUGUAAUAAACUUCAGGAUAGAAAAGAGGAGCGUUUUGGCCUCUUUUCAAAAUAAAGGAAACUCGACUUGAAAAGAUUUUGUCUGUUUUCAACUUUCCAAGUUUAAACCAAAAAUAAACAAACUAUGUUUGUACAAAGUACCGAGAGUUCCUUUUUGCACGGGGGUUCGAUUCCCCCCAUCUCCACAU
rnacentral:tmRNA from 1 species